rfam:Neosartorya fischeri NRRL 181 1099437635590 genomic scaffold, whole genome shotgun sequence.
GGCGUGUUAAUUCAAUGGUAGAAUCUCGUGCUACGGACACGAUAAUAUAAGUUCAAAUCUUAUACACGUUU